rnacentral:lncRNA from 1 species
AAAAUCUGAAGUCUUAGCACAAGGUAAAGUAACUUUAGACUCUAAGCCCACGAUGUCAGGAUCUUUAAAAGAUAUUCAUGGAAAAGGAAAAAAGAGGCAUGUCCAGGCGAUAAUGACAGGAAAGUAAAAAGAGCAGAGUAUAUGAGGGGUAAGGAAAGGCCAGAAAGGGAAAAAGGCAGAUAGGAUUCAAGAAAUGAGGAAUGACAAAAAGAUGAAAGGGAGUUAUGAAGGCAUCUACACGCGAACAGGCGCGGUCAUAAUGGUUCUCGAUAUUCACCCCCUCGGCAGUCGGAGCAAUAACUGCCAAGAAGGUGAAGGGGCAAUUGAUGACCGCUGGAUUUCCUUGCCCCCAAUCUUGGGCCUAGAUUAC